CCAGUUCGACUACGGAGUUGACGACCCCUCUCUCUUGCCAGAGCAACCAGGCAAGCCCCCCCUUUGAUCACCAGAUAUCGCCUACUCUUCUCUAUACUGCUUGCAUUAGAGUAGUGUAGCAUGUUACUGCUUUCCGUUAAUCCUAUUAUGAUGCAUAGCCUGUCAUUGCUGCUACAGUCAUUGAUACCUUACCCGCAAUCCUAAAUGCUUAGUAUAGGAUGCUAGUGUUCCAUCAGUGACCCUACACUCUUGUCCGUCUGCCAUGCUAUACUACUGGGCUGUGAUCACUUCGGGAGGUGAUCACGGGCAUAUACUAUAUAUUUUACACUGUUACAUACUGGUGAUACUGUUUGGGGAUGGGGGCUGAAGGGGCAGGUGGCUCCAUCCAGGUAGUGGUGGGCCUGAGUUCCCGACGGCCCCCGACUGUUACUUUGUGGCGAAGCGACAGGGCAGGUUGAGACCACCUAGGAGACAGGUGGGCCUGGCCUUGUUUGGCAUUCUCGAAUACUUAACACACUUAACGAGAUCUUGGUAUUUGAUCUGAGUCUGGCUACUGGCCUAUACGCACUAACCAUCUACGCGGGAGUAGUUAUGGGUAUCCCGACGUCGUGGUAUCAGCCGAAGCACUUCAGACGUUAGCGACGGAGCGGCGCGCGCCGGAUUGGAACGUAAGCCUGCUCUUGUAUUAAGGGGGCUAGUUCUGCUUCCGGCCGCCCACGCAACAUGCAGGUGUGCUAUGGGCGAUGGGCCCAGACCCCUGUGCGCUUAGGUUUAGACCGGCGUGCUGGCCUCUCUGUUUUGCCUAGGUGGGGCUGCGACGUGUUGAUCUUCCGAGGCCGGGCAUGACCCAGGAAAGUGUGUCCGGCCAAAUGGGAUCGAGCGUGUUGGGCUAUGUGGUGCACCCCUGCAGGGAAGUUAAUCUAUUCGAAUAGCCGUGAUCUUCGGUAACAGGACGACUUGGAGUUGUACCUUGACCUUAUGACAACUAGAACCGGAUACUUAAUAAAACACACCCUUCCAAGUUCCACAGACAACCCGGUGAUCGCUUUUCCGCAGGGCGACGAGGAGAGGAUUGCCGGGUAGGAUUAUGCUAUGCGAUGCUACUGGAGAUGCUACUUGGAGAUGCUAUUUGGAGAUGCUACUUGGAGGUGCUACUUGGAGGACUUCAAUCUACCCUCUUCUACAUGUUGUAAGGCGGAGGCUGCCAGAAGCGUAGUCUUCGACAGGAUUAGCUAUCCCCCUCUUAUUCUGGCAUUCUGCAGUUCAGUCCACUGAUAUGGCCUCCUUACACAUAUACCCAUGCAUAUGUAGUGUAGCUCCUUGCUUGCGAGUACUUUGGAUGAGUACUCACGGUUGCUUUUCUCCCUCUUUUCCCCCUUUCCCUUCUACCUGGUUGUCGCAACCAGAUGCUGGAGCCCUGGAGCCAGACGCCACCAUCGAUGACGACCCCCUACUACACCGGAGGUGCCUACUACUACGUGCAGCCCGCUGACGACGACCAGGAGUAGUUAGGAGGAUCCCAGGCAGGAGGCCUGCGCCUCUUUCGAUCUGUAUCCCAGUUUGUGCUAG
rnacentral:lncRNA from 1 species